rnacentral:rRNA from 1 species
AUUUUGGUCGCCAACGAGUGGCGGACGGGUGAGUAACACGUAGGUAACCUGCCCAGAAGCGGGGGACAACAUUUGGAAACAGAUGCUAAUACCGCAUAACAGCGUUGUUCGCAUGAACAACGCUUAAAAGAUGGCUUCUCGCUAUCACUUCUGGAUGGACCUGCGGUGCAUUAGCUUGUUGGUGGGGUAACGGCCUACCAAGGCGAUGAUGCAUAGCCGAGUUGAGAGACUGAUCGGCCACAAUGGGACUGAGACACGGCCCAUACUCCUACGGGAGGCAGCAGUAGGGAAUCUUCCACAAUGGGCGCAAGCCUGAUGGAGCAACACCGCGUGAGUGAAGAAGGGUUUCGGCUCGUAAAGCUCUGUUGUUAAAGAAGAACACGUAUGAGAGUAACUGUUCAUACGUUGACGGUAUUUAACCAGAAAGUCACGGCUAACUACGUGCCAGCAGCCGCGGUAAUACGUAGGUGGCAAGCGUUAUCCGGAUUUAUUGGGCGUAAAGAGAGUGCAGGCGGUUUUCUAAGUCUGAUGUGAAAGCCUUCGGCUUAACCGGAGAAGUGCAUCGGAAACUGGAUAACUUGAGUGCAGAAGAGGGUAGUGGAACUCCAUGUGUAGCGGUGGAAUGCGUAGAUAUAUGGAAGAACACCAGUGGCGAAGGCGGCUACCUGGUCUGCAACUGACGCUGAGACUCGAAAGCAUGGGUAGCGAACAGGAUUAGAUACCCUGGUAGUCCAUGCCGUAAACGAUGAGUGCUAGGUGUUGGAGGGUUUCCGCCCUUCAGUGCCGGAGCUAACGCAUUAAGCACUCCGCCUGGGGAGUACGACCGCAAGGUUGAAACUCAAAGGAAUUGACGGGGGCCCGCACAAGCGGUGGAGCAUGUGGUUUAAUUCGAAGCUACGCGAAGAACCUUACCAGGUCUUGACAUCUUGCGCCAACCCUAGAGAUAGGGCGUUUCCUUCGGGAACGCAAUGACAGGUGGUGCAUGGUCGUCGUCAGCUCGUGUCGUGAGAUGUUGGGUUAAGUCCCGCAACGAGCGCAACCCUUGUUACUAGUUGCCAGCAUUAAGUUGGGCACUCUAGUGAGACUGCCGGUGACAAACCGGAGGAAGGUGGGGACGACGUCAGAUCAUCAUGCCCCUUAUGACCUGGGCUACACACGUGCUACAAUGGACGGUACAACGAGUCGCGAACUCGCGAGGGCAAGCAAAUCUCUUAAAACCGUUCUCAGUUCGGACUGCAGGCUGCAACUCGCCUGCACGAAGUCGGAAUCGCUAGUAAUCGCGGAUCAGCAUGCCGCGGUGAAUACGUUCCCGGGCCUUGUACACACCGCCCGUCACACCAUGAGAGUUUGUAACACCCAAAGUCGGU